AUGAACGCUAGCUACAGGCUUAACACAUGCAAGUCGAGGGGCAGCAUGAACUUAGCUUGCUAAGUUUGAUGGCGACCGGCGCACGGGUGAGUAACACGUAUCCAACCUGCCGAUGACUCGGGGAUAGCCUUUCGAAAGAAAGAUUAAUACCCGAUGGCAUAGUUCUUCCGCAUGGUAGAACUAUUAAAGAAUUUCGGUCAUCGAUGGGGAUGCGUUCCAUUAGGUUGUUGGCGGGGUAACGGCCCACCAAGCCUUCGAUGGAUAGGGGUUCUGAGAGGAAGGUCCCCCACAUUGGAACUGAGACACGGUCCAAACUCCUACGGGAGGCAGCAGUGAGGAAUAUUGGUCAAUGGACGAGAGUCUGAACCAGCCAAGUAGCGUGAAGGAUGACUGCCCUAUGGGUUGUAAACUUCUUUUAUACGGGAAUAAAGUGAGGCACGUGUGCCUUUUUGUAUGUACCGUAUGAAUAAGGAUCGGCUAACUCCGUGCCAGCAGCCGCGGUAAUACGGAGGAUCCGAGCGUUAUCCGGAUUUAUUGGGUUUAAAGGGAGCGUAGGCGGACGCUUAAGUCAGUUGUGAAAGUUUGCGGCUCAACCGUAAAAUUGCAGUUGAUACUGGGUGUCUUGAGUACAGUAGAGGCAGGCGGAAUUCGUGGUGUAGCGGUGAAAUGCUUAGAUAUCACGAAGAACUCCGAUUGCGAAGGCAGCUUGCUGGACUGUAACUGACGCUGAUGCUCGAAAGUGUGGGUAUCAAACAGGAUUAGAUACCCUGGUAGUCCACACAGUAAACGAUGAAUACUCGCUGUUUGCGAUAUACAGUAAGCGGCCAAGCGAAAGCGUUAAGUAUUCCACCUGGGGAGUACGCCGGCAACGGUGAAACUCAAAGGAAUUGACGGGGGCCCGCACAAGCGGAGGAACAUGUGGUUUAAUUCGAAGCAACGCGAAGAACCUUACCAAGUCUUGACAUCCUUCUGACCGUUCCUUAGCCGGAACUUCCCUUCGGGGCAGAAGAGACAGGUGGUGCAUGGUUGUCGUCAGCUCGUGUCGUGAGAUGUUGGGUUAAGUCCCGCAACGAGCGCAACCCUUAUCGAUAGUUACCAUCAGGUUAUGCUGGGGACUCUGUCGAGACUGCCGUCGUAAGAUGUGAGGAAGGUGGGGAUGACGUCAAAUCAGCACGGCCCUUACGUCCGGGGCUACACACGUGUUACAAUGGGGGGUACAGAAGGCAGCUACACGGCGACGUGAUGCUAAUCCCUAAAGCCUCUCUCAGUUCGGAUUGGAGUCUGCAACCCGACUCCAUGAAGCUGGAUUCGCUAGUAAUCGCGCAUCAGCCACGGCGCGGUGAAUACGUUCCCGGGCCUUGUACACACCGCCCGUCAAGCCAUGAAAGCCGGGGGUACCUGAAGUGCGUAACCGCAAGGAGCGCCCUAGGGUAAAACUGGUGAUUGGGGCU
rnacentral:rRNA from 1 species